rnacentral:rRNA from 1 species
CCUACGGGUGGCUGCAGUGGGGAAUAUUGCACAAUGGGCGCAAGCCUGAUGCAGCCAUGCCGCGUGUGUGAAGAAGGCCUUCGGGUUGUAAAGCACUUUCAGCGGGGAGGAAGGCGGUGAGGUUAAUAACCUCAUCGAUUGACGUUACCCGCAGAAGAAGCACCGGCUAACUCCGUGCCAGCAGCCGCGGUAAUACGGAGGGUGCAAGCGUUAAUCGGAAUUACUGGGCGUAAAGCGCACGCAGGCGGUCUGUCAAGUCGGAUGUGAAAUCCCCAGGCUCAACCUGGGAACUGCAUUCGAAACUGGCAGGCUAGAGUCUUGUAGAGGGGGGUAGAAUUCCAGGUGUAGCGGUGAAAUGCGUAGAGAUCUGGAGGAAUACCGGUGGCGAAGGCGGCCCCCUGGACAAAGACUGACGCUCAGGUGCGAAAGCGUGGGGAGCAAACAGGAUUAGAUACCCGGGUAGUC